rnacentral:lncRNA from 1 species
GCAUUCCCCUCUUCCCCUUCCUCCAGUCCUACCCUGGGCUGCUGGCGGCAGCUACUCUGAUCUAAUGGUCUCAGCUAAUGGGAUGCUGACAGUUUCAGCAAAGUGCGGCCUCCAGGAGAAAAGCCAACCAUCAUCCGCCCCCCAGUGAGGCCCCCAGAUCCUCCCUGCCGGGCAGCUACUCCCCAAAAGCCAGAACCAAAGCCAGAUAUUGUGGCUGGCAAUGCGGGGGAAAUCACAUCAUCUGUGGUGGCUUCCAGGACCAGGUUUUUUGAAACAGCUUCCCGGAAAACAGGAAGUUCUCAAGGCAGACUUCCUGGAGAUGAAAGUUGAGGCUACAGGUUUUAAAAGCCUUGGCCUCAGAGGACCCUUUCCAGGUUCUGAAAGAGUCUUUCUUCUUCAAACCUUUGUGUGCGGAGUCAUUUUGUGUUGAAGAGCAGCUCCUUCCUAGCCUUGCACUUUCAGACUCUCUCUGGGAGGCCAUAAAAUAAGGAGCAUAUGUCCUAGACAGGUGUUUAUAUCUCCUUUGUAUUCUGUCUUCAUCCCCUCAGAAGGUCUGUUUUGAGUUCCUAUAACACUGUGAAGAGCUGGACUCCCUCAAGCCAGACUCUGCCAAAACCAAGAUAUCCACUUACCUGAGUUGAAGAGGGGAGCUCAGUUUUCAACUCUUCCCUGAACUUCCUGCUUCCUCAGAGGGCCAUUGAACUCUGAGAGAUUUGGGGCUAAAGACUGAUCUCAGGGGUCUUACCUUGAACUGAAGGCCACUUGAGUUGGGGCCAUUGCUUACCUUGGUUGGAAGGGAAUAGAAAUGUUUGCUGAACAUUGGAGAAUCUCAACAUGUCUCCUACUGAGGAUAUGGACACUGGUGCCAUGUCAGCGCUCUGGUGCUGCAGUAUGUUGCCAAGAGCCCGUCUGCUCCUGCGAGGCUAUGAGUGGGAUGAGUGAUGCCCCCACAGCACCUCCAUGUGGACUUAGGAAGGUGGCCUUCCUGCUGUUACAUGCAGCCACUUAGGACAAAUCUGCAAAGCAUGUUUUGCAUGUAAAAGCCUAGGUCUAUUUGGAUUAUUCUUUCUCCUUUUUUUUGACAGCUUCCUGUCAAGCAAUCAAGAAACAAACAAAAGCUGAACACAUUUCUUUUUAAAAAAAGGAGACUGUGUUUGGUCCUGUAGGAGUUCUAUUUUGGGGUCAAAUGCUAGAAAAAUUGUUAAGGUGGAUUGAGGCCAGGCAGCUGUCACUGCUGCUUCAUGUUUGCCUUCUGCACAUAAACUCUUUUAUCUCCUGAAAAAAGCAGUUCUUAACCCAGUGUCCAUGGACUCAGAAACUCCAUGAUGCCCCUGAGAUGGUAUGCACAAUUCCAUGACAAUAUGCCCUUUCUGGGGAGAUAGUCCAUAAUGUUCUGCUAAAUUUCAAAUGGGCUCGUGACCCAAAAAAGUCAAGAACCACAGCACUUGAGUAAAAUACUCUUUUUACAAUCCAUAUAAGCCCUUGAUUGGAAGGGCUUUUCAAAAUCAUUUAGUCUAACAACUGCCCAGUUUCCAGUCGGGGGAACUGAGGCAGAGCAAGGUAGUGAUCACACCAGUACAAGAUCUCAGGUCCCAGGCUCCUAUGCAAGUUUUUUUUCCCCAUUAUAUCACACUUAUCUAGCAAGGGACCUUGUGGUUUGUGGCUUUAGUGGCCAUCAUUUCUGGGGGUUGGCUUUUACCCUUUUUCUUGAAUAUUUGCCACCAAGUGAAAAAUGUUAGGACAUAAACCCUUGCCAGGUCCCUUUCAUUUGCUAUCUCUAUUAUUGGAAAGGACCUAAAAAUUGGUGUAAUGGGGCAGAAAUCUGAGGAAUGGACAUUUCUAAUUCCUGUUUGUUGAAGGGAAGUUGCUGGAAAGAGCAUCAGUACUUGUUUCUAUGCAGAUGCCUGGGCCGUAGCUUGUCUGUAGCGUCUGUAUAAUUAUAAUGUUGCCCAGUGUGAGGGAAAGAGCUUUCCUACUUGCACUCUUCUACCAAGGCCCUGUUAGUGCACUGAUUAUAGUACUGACAGAUAAACCUAGAUAAAGAGAUAGAGAGUGAGUACAUGCACACUCAUGUGCAAACCCACUCAGAGAUGCAUUUGGAACAGUGCUACUGAAAGGCAGUAGUCAUUUUCAAGACUGAAUUCCAAACAUGGUUUAUUGGUGAGUUAGGAACAUGUAAGGCCAAGUACACUGAGAGCCUUUUUGAAAGUAAUUGAGUGGAAACUUGAUGCCAUUCUAAAUCAAGGCAUAUCCAGGUGGCCCGGUUGAACUCACUCCACUGUACCCAGUCUCAAAGGCCAGGUUGCUAAGAAACCAGGAGUAAAAGAGUCAAGUGACCAUCAUUUCACCUGCUGCUUGCCCCCAAUAGUAGUCUCUGUGAGGCCUUACUGACCUCACCUAGGAAGUGAUUUUUGAGCCCUUGUUUCAGGGCUGUGGCCUCCCUGCUCUAUCCUGAAUAAAGCAGACAGGUGUGCAGAUUUUGGCCAUGAAAGCAUGGCUAAUAGGGCCACAGUCCCUUUAAAGAAACAUGGUUUGACUCUGGUUUUCUUGGGGGAAAAUACCACAAUCACCGAUGCAAACAUUGGAAGAUUAUUGAGAGCCCUAGAAAGCUGCUGUGAUCCCAGUAGAAAAUAUGUCCCAGAAAUGUCAUGAGAUUGCUGUGUGUUGCCUGGGACACAGAUCAAGGGCCUAUCUUGGAGAGCUGGGGACCAGCAGUCUGCCUGGAGGCCAGGGAGCAGUGGCUGAGUAGCUCUGCCUUUGCUCUGGUCUAUACCUUAAGAAUGCCAAAGAAUGAAUUUCAACGCCUGCCUUUGGCACUCUGACUUAAAGUGCAAAAAGCUUCUGUGGCGAGGCAUGCUAUCAUGGAAUGAGACUGGCUUGCCCUAGGCUUAAUGGAUGGGCAGUCAUUUUGCAGAGGCUAUGGGAAGAGGGUGAUAAUAGAAGAGUGGCAGCUAUAGGAAAUUAUCAACAUACCUUGGCCAGCAAGUUAGAGAAUCUGGCAAUGGAUGAACUGAAAGUGAUGAACUGGCAGGGAUAACAAAGAACCUAACAUUUAUUAAGCACGUAUUUAUUAACUGCUCAGUGUUUCAUAUUCAUGCAAGUAUUCUCAUUUUACAGAGAAAGAAAUUAUGGCCCAGGGGGCUAAAGUAAACAACUCAAGGGCACAUAGAAAGUAAAUAAAAGGACUGUGAUUUGAAUCCAGGCCACUCUUAGCCCAUGCUGUUUUCCCUUUGCCACACUGUGGUAGGUGUUUGAACAGAGGCCACAUUACUAGAGUUGGCAUGACUCUUGACUCUUGCCUGCCUAACAAAAUAUUGAAAGGCAAACAUUUGAAGGAGGGAGGGGGUGCAGGUUCAGUUUAUAUGGAAAUGCAAACUGGGCUGGAAGAUAUUCCUGAGUUAGGCUUUCUCUUCAUAUUCAGCUUGCACAUUUGGUAAUGUUUUUAAGAUGAUCAUCUAAUUUUAUUUUGUGAAGUGAAGGAUUUGUGUUUUAGUUGGCAGUUGUUAAGUCCUUGGCUUGCCAUUUUUCAAAAAGUAAAAAGGUCCUCACAGGUGUCUCCAUACUUCGCCAAGGUUGUAGCAUGGGCAGUUUCAGUUUCAGCCUAAGAGACUGGUGACAUCCACAAAUGCAGUUUUAGAAGCAGAAAAGGUCUUGGUGCCUCUGCAGUACUUGAUGUAUUGGGGUCAAAUCUCUACAAAUUUUUCUGUGGUGAUAGCAAAAUCAAGAGAUGGCUUACAAAAAGAAAUAUUGAAUUUUUAUUUUUGAAGUUUUUGUUUUUUAAAAGGUUGGGGGUGUUCAGCCACUGAGGGACAAAACUUAGCAUCUAAUUUCAAUUAUAGUGUCAUGCAGAGUAUUUCUAAAGUAAUUGGUUAUCAUGGGAAAGUAUUCUCUUUUCAAGAAGUUCUUUGAUUCUGUAAUAACUAGAACAAAUAAAGUAGUAAAAGAAGAAAUAGUUCUGUGACUAGGAAAAAAUUGCUUUUGAGAGAACAUAGAUCAAUUAUACUACUUCUAAGGUAGCUGCAGAUAAGUGGCCUUGACACAUUACAAGCCUGGAAAAAAACAUCAGAAAUAAUAAAAAAUUUCAGAGAGAAUCAAGAUACCUUUUUUUUUCUUUUUUUUUUCUUUUUUUUAUUAUACUCUAAGUUUUAGGGUACAUGUGCACAUUGUGCAGGUUAGUUACAUAUGUAUACAUGUGCCAUGCUGGUGCGCUGCACCCACUAAUGUGUCAUCUAGCAUUAGGUAUAUCUCCCAGUGCUAUCCCUCCCCCCUCCCCCGACCCCACCACAGUCCCCAGAGUGUGAUAUUCCCCUUCCUGUGUCCAUGUGAUCUCAUUGUUCAAUUCCCACCUAUGAGUGAGAAUAUGCGGUGUUUGGUUUUUUGUUCUUGCGAUAGUUUACUGAGAAUGAUGGUUUCCAAUUUCAUCCAUGUCCCUACAAAGGAUAUGAACUCAUCAUUUUUUAUGGCUGCAUAGUAUUCCAUGGUGUAUAUGUGCCACAUUUUCUUAAUCCAGUCUAUCAUUGUUGGACAUUUGGGUUGGUUCCAAGUCUUUGCUAUUGUGAAUAGUGCCGCAAUAAACAUACGUGUGCAUGUGUCUUUAUAGCAGCAUGAUUUAUACUCAUUUGGGUAUAUACCCAGUAAUGGGAUGGCUGGGUCAAAUGGUAUUUCUAGUUCUAGAUCCCUGAGGAAUCGCCACACUGACUUCCACAAUGGUUGAACUAGUUUACAGUCCAACCAACAGUGUAAAAGUGUUCCUAUUUCUCCGCAUCCUCUCCAGCACCUGUUGUUUCCUGACUUUUUAAUGAUUGCCAUUCUAACUGGUGUGAGAUGAUAUCUCAUAGUGGUUUUGAUUUGCAUUUCUCUGAUGGCCAGUGAUGAUGAGCAUUUCUUCAUGUGUUUUUUGGCUGCAUAAAUGUCUUCUUUUGAGAAGUGUCUGUUCAUGUCCUUCGCGAAGGACAAGAUACCUUAAAGAUAAGUUUUCGAUAAAGAAAAGCCUUCAUUUUCCUGGGGGAAAUGAAGCACUUGAUGCCAAGGACAUUAGUAGAGGGCUAGAAAGAUUGCCUGUGUGAAAGACAUAUGCUAUAUCCAAAUAAUAAAACAAACGAGAUCCUGGGGCUCAUUCAUGUGACUUUCAAUAAAGUAUGUAG